CAGUAGCCGCGGGAAUACAGAGGGUGCGAGCGUUAAUCGGAUUUACUGGGCGUAAAGCGUGCGUAGGCGGCUUUUUAAGUCGGAUGUGAAAUCCCUGAGCUUAACUUAGGAAUUGCAUUCGAUACUGGGAAGCUAGAGUAUGGGAGAGGAUGGUAGAAUUCCAGGUGUAGCGGUGAAAUGCGUAGAGAUCUGGAGGAAUACCGAUGGCGAAGGCAGCCAUCUGGCAUAAUACUGACGCUGAGGUACGAAAGCAUGGGGAGCAAACAGGAUUAGAUACCCCCGUAGUCCCUGUCUCUUAUAU
rnacentral:rRNA from 1 species